rnacentral:rRNA from 1 species
UCGAGAAUCAUUCACAAUGGGGGCAACCCUGAUGGUGCAACGCCGCGUGGAGGAAGAAGGUCUUCGGAUUGUAAACUCCUGUCAUCUAGGAGCAAGGCAUGGUGGUGAAUAGCCAACAUGAUUGAUAGUACUAGAAGAGGAAGGGACGGCUAACUUCGUGCCAGCAGCCGCGGUAAUACGAAGGUCCCGAGCGUUAUUCGGAAUCACUGGGCGUAAAGGGAGCGUAGGCGGCGUGGAAAGUCAGAUGUGAAAUCCCAGAGCUUAACUCUGGAACUGCAUCCGAUACUACCAUGCUAGAGUAUUGGAGGGGUAACUGGAAUUCUCGGUGUAGCAGUGAAAUGCGUAGAUAUCGAGAGGAACACUCGUGGCGAAAGCGAGUUACUGG